rnacentral:rRNA from 1 species
UACAGAGGGGGCAAGCGUUAUUCGGAAUUAUUGGGCGUAAAGGGCGCGUAGGCGGCAUUGCAAGUGGAAGGUGAAAUCCCUCGGCUUAACCGAGGAACUGCCCUCCAAACUGCGUUGCUUGAGGCCGGGAGAGGUGAGUGGAAUUCCCAGUGUAGCGGUGGAAUGCGCAGAUAUCAGGAGGAACACCGAUGGCGAAGGCAGGUCUCUGGGCCACUACUGACGCUGAGAAGCGAAAGCAUGGGGAGCGAACAGG